UACGUAGGGGGCAAGCGUUGUCCGGAAUCAUUGGGCGUAAAGAGCGUGUAGGCGGCCCGAUAAGUCCGCUGUGAAAGUCCAGGGCUCAACCCUGGGAUGCCGGUGGAUACUGUCGGGCUCGAGUCCGGAAGAGGCGAGUGGAAUUCCGUGGUGUAGCGGUGAAAUGACGCAGAGUAUCGGGAGGAACACCAAUGGCGAAGGCAGCUCGCUGGGACGGUACUGACGCUGAGACGCGAAAGCGUGGGGAGCAAACA
rnacentral:rRNA from 1 species